rnacentral:tRNA from 1 species
GCUCCCCUAGCUCAAUGGAUAGAGUAACAGUUUCCGGAACUGUUGAUGUGAGUCCGAUUCUCACGGGGAGCA